UUACAAUAAUUUACCAUUUGGUGGUAUUGUGUAGCAACUUAAAAUCCCAAAUGAAGAAACUAUAGUUGAAUGUGUUGCUACUGGUUGCACUUUGUGGUAAUAAAAAUAAAAUUGGAAGUGUGUGUAAAUAAUAGCAUUGAAGAGAAAUAAGUUGGAGUCCAGAUAUCUCUCCGCAGACUGUGGCACUCAAACAUGUGUAUCAGAAUCGUAUAUUAAGCGCUGAGCGUGUGAUAUGUAAAUGGCAGGGAGUGCAGUCUGUGGGGCUCAUCCACUCUUGGAUUCUUUGUAUAAUAAUGAUUGUAUAGUGUAAUCUUGACAGUUAAAUGUAAACGUGAAUGAUUUGUGCACAGUUUUAUUUUUGCUAGUUGCAAGAGAAAAAAAAAUACUGUUCUCGGAUUGAUUGCAUUGGAAAGCAGAUAAUUAUCUCACCUUCUAUUCUCACUGCCAAGGGCCUGCAGUCAGACUGUAUUUCUGUGCUAAUCCGUCUUUGCCACACAAGGUGAAGCUGCCUGCUUCAGGCUAUGAGAGAUGUAGCUGCUGGAAGAGGUCUCUGUGUUGCUUGUGAAGUGAUGCAAUAGUCAUCAGUACGAGCACAGAGACCUGCCCAUAAAAGGCAUUUACCGUAUACAUUGAACAAAAUGCAAUUUUAAGCAGUAUUCUUGAAUCUGGGGCACAUGCUGGAUGUACUGAAAAUAUAACAGAAAGUCUUUAAGCAUCAGAAGAUACUUGUAUGCCUGUAAUGUAAUAAAGAAAGAGUAUAUGCUAUUCAGAAAGCAUUGGGUUUUGUAACAUCUAUGACUGCAUUCUGUCUUUGCUUUAGUGACUUUUUCAGAAGAGGAAAAGGAGCAGCUGAGAAAAUUCACCAACAAAUCCUACCUGUUAGAUAAAAAGGCCUCUCAUCAAGUAUGGACCAGCCUAGUUGAUAUAAUUCUGGCGUAUGCCUAUGAAGUCCGCACCACUGAAGGAGAAACAAACGUUGAAUCAGCGUGGAAUAUAAGGAAGUUGAGUGGAACGCUCAGCUGGCUGGAGAAAGAAGCGUUUCCUGAGCACACUAGAUAAUUGAAACUGAAAUGACUGGGUCUGUUGAUUUGAGGAGAGGAUGGGAAGAAGUAUCCCAGCUGUUUGGGCUGGAGCCAGGCGUGAUGCAUUAUUCACAUUUCAUCUGAUAAAUGAGACAUCAAGCAUCCUGAGGCCUGCUACCUCCUACACCAGCAGCCUUCAGCAGAACCAAGAUAAAUUAGGAGGCAUGUCAGGAGGAGGCCGCCUUUUAUUGUGAAUUCAUUUUUGAAAGGAGUUCAAUUUAUCGCACCUCCUCAGUUUCAUAUCAGAACUUCCUGAUGCAAUAAAUUAACAAUUGAUAUAUUGACAAUUCAUUUUUAUAGUGGAUGGGUGGAGUUACGUUAUAGUGCUUCUGCUGUGUGUCAUUUCAUUUCUGCUUUUGCCAGCUUUGUAACCUUGACAAGUGAAACAGACAAAGCUCUGCGAUCCUUGCAUUUCAUUUAUUUAGCAGAGUUAUGUUGCAAUGCAAGCAGACAGAGAUUCCGGUCUUUAAAGAAUUAUGUUUGCAUGUCAUAUUGAUCAUGCAGAUAAUACUAAGGUAGUUCUUAUUCAUAUGAAAAUACAGUACUGUAUGACAUUAUACAAGUUGAAUGAUAUCAUAACCAUGUAUACUAUACUUUAGAAGACUCUGCCUCCAAACAUAAUGAUAAUGACUGCACCACUCUCAAAACGCAGUCAGAGAUGGUUGCAAUGAUUAACAAAUCUAUUUUGCAAUUAAGUCUUUUAUAGAACCUUUUUUUUUUUUUUUUCACUGCGUUAAAGCAGAUAAUCCAUCUCCUGAAAAAAUUGAACAGAUUAAAUUCUUCUGAUAAUUAAAACACAGGCUUUACUGGAGUCUUUAAGGUCUCCACAAGUAUUUACUUAAAAAGUAUUUACUCUAAAAGGAGGUCAUUAGGAGUAAUUAGUGUAUAAACUGCUGCAAUUAGUUCUGAGUUACCCUGUUUUUUGGUAAUCCUUUCAUUACUCUAACUCCCAGCAAAUCAGAGGUGGUGUUGUAGCAGAAGUAAAAAUUAUAAAUGCUGAAUCAGACUAAUUACUGCCUUAAUUGAAAUAUUAGUAUUUUAUUGAAAAUCUCAGGGACAUGGUGCUACAAAAUUUUGACUGUUAAUUAUAUUUUAUUUAUAAAAAUAAACACAUUCUAAUUCACAGGAUUCCAUUCUUGAGCAAUACCGGACAUCAGAUAAUAGAAACCAAGUACCAUAUAUGAGAUGCAUCUAG